ensembl:lncRNA
AGUUAUUGCUGAAACCUUCCUUGCAUGAACAUAAAUGAACAGCCUGUGUGAACUGCUGUAUGUGUCAUCAGCUGAAAAGGAAACUAGAAAGAUUACAGAAGAGGACGUUUUACAGGCUGGAAUCAUCUCCAUGAUUGAGUAAUGAUCAAUGGUCAUCUACUUUGUAAACGAUCAAUCAUUGUCCAAGUGCUGGUUGACAGCCACUGAUGGGAAACUCUCUUGGAGAUGGCAUUUGUGCAAUAGCACUGGAAACCUGAAAUCAAUAUCCGCUUUCAGGAGGCACACUGUGUUGAAAAUCCAUAAAGUGUAUUCUUGCUCAUGUCACACUGAAACCAGCAUUGCAGUGGAAGCACAAAAGAAGAGUUCAUUAGGAUAAAUGAUGGUGUUUUGAUGUAGAAAUUGAAUGUUGUGGAGUAACUCUCUACAAUAAAGUAAUAAGG